CAACUACUCCCUCUGUCCCAAAUUUCUUGUCUUAGAUUUGUCUAGAUACGGAUGUAUCUGUGACUUGAUACAUCCGUAUCUAGACAAAUCUAAGACAAGAAUUUUGGGACGGAGGGAGUACUUU
rnacentral:pre_miRNA from 1 species